UACGUAGGGGGCAAGCGUUGUCCGGAAUCAUUGGGCGUAAAGAGCGUGUAGGCGGCCAGAAAAGUCCGCUGUGAAAACUCGAGGCUCAACUUCGAGCUGUCGGUGGAAACUUUCUGGCUAGAGUCCGGAAGAGGAGAAUGGAAUUCCUGGAGUAGCGGUGAAAUGCGCAGAUAUCAGGAAGAACACCCGUGGCGAAGGCGGUUCUCUGGGACGGUACUGACGCUGAGACGCGAAAGCGUGGGGAGCGAACAGG
rnacentral:rRNA from 1 species